rnacentral:rRNA from 1 species
UACGAAGGGGGCUAGCGUUGCUCGGAAUUACUGGGCGUAAAGCGCACGUAGGCGGUUUCUUAAGUCGGGGGUGAAAUCCUGGAGCUCAACUCCAGAACUGCCUUCGAUACUGGGAAACUUGAGUCCGGGAGAGGUGAGUGGAACUGCGAGUGUAGAGGUGAAAUUCGUAGAUAUUGGGAAGAACACCGGUGGCGAAGGCGGCUCACUGGCUCGUUUCUGACGCUCAGGCGCGACAGCGUGGGGAUCAAACAGG